rnacentral:rRNA from 1 species
ACGCUCGACACCUAUGGGAGGCAGCAGUGGGGAAUAUUGCACAAUGGGGGAAACCCUGAUGCAGCGACGCCGCGUGAAGGAAGAAGUAUUUCGGUAUGUAAACUUCUAUCAGCAGGGAAGAAGAUGACGGUACCUGAGUAAGAAGCACCGGCUAAAUACGUACCAGCAGCCGCGGUAAUCUGAGCGGGCUGGCAAGGC